UGGCGGCGUGCCUAACACAUGCAAGUCGAACGCGAAAGUGGAGCAACCCAUGAGUAGAGUGGCAAACGGGUGAGUAACACGUGGGUGACCUGCCUUCGAGUGGGGGAUAACGUCCCGAAAGGGACGCUAAUACCGNAUGAUAUGCCGCCUUUUAAGAGGUGGACAUCAAAGCUGGGGAUCGCAAGACCUAGCGCUUGAAGAGGGGCCCGCGCCUGAUUAGCUAGUUGGUGGGGUAAUGGCUCACCAGGGCAACGAUCAGUAUCCGGUCUGAGAGGGCGGACGGACACACUGGGACUGAGACACGGCCCAGNCUCCUACGGGAGGCAGCAGUGGGGAAUUGUUCGCAAUGGGCGCAAGCCUGACGACGCAACGCCGCGUGGAGGAUGAAGAUUUUCGGAUCGUAAACUCC
rnacentral:rRNA from 1 species